GGAUGGUACUAUAGAACGCCACCUCAAGGUAGGCCUAGUGGCGCCAUCUCUUGGUCAGGCCGGAAACUUAUCAAUCCACCCUCGUAUAUUUUUGUUCAUUAUUUUAUAUUUUUGUUGUUGUGUAUACAACUGAUGAGUUCUGUGAUAAGUAAUUAAAUUUUGAUGCGUGCAAUCAAAAUCCCCGGAUGGCUGCUAAUAAGUAUGCCAUAAUUUAUCCUUACAGAAGGCAUCCAAUGUUCUUUGUUUUUCCGAAGUUGGACAGAAAUUUAAGAGAAACGGGUCAAGUUUUUAAUCAUCACAGGGAAGUUGGUGGACAGCGACAAAACAUCCUGGAUGUGGAGCGAGUUAUAAAUGAUUUUCAUCGAGGAUUGAGGCGAAAAUUGUGUAGGGUGAGAUGUAUCUACAAUUCCUUCAAAUACUCUUCCUGAUCUCCUGGAAAACGUGCCUUUGAAUGUGCUUCAGAAAAUGAUUUACCAACACGAUGGCUGCCGUGCUCAUCGAUAUAGCCCUGUUGUUGCAUAAAUUGACCAACGUUUUGGAAAUCGAUGGAUAGGGUAUAAAACUCGCAACCAAAGAAAUGCUAACUACAUUCAUUGGCCAUCGAGAUCACCGGAUCUCAGUCCAACAGACUUUUUUUGUGGGGGCACCUGAAGACCUGCAUUUGUGCGUUGGUAGAAAAGGUUGUCAAGGAACGACUUGUCGAAGCCUGUGACUCUCUAACACGAUUUAAAACGUUUGCGCAUUUGUUUAAUGCACAUCGUAAAACCAAAUUUCUUUUUUUUUUUUUGCUAAAUGCAUCAUUUAAUUGAGUAAUAACUUAACAAACGAAAAUCAAUAUUAAGCUGAGCAUUAUUUAUUUCAAUUAGAGAUUACUCUUAUAGGCAUCAGACUACCGGAGAUAGUAGUUACUGCAAUUUAAUGAAAAAUAAUACUAAAUAGAAAACUCGAUAUCUUAACGAUUAUUGUGAUAAAAUUAGUCUAGGACAAAUAAAGGAACUUGCUUCAUAACUGGAA